rnacentral:piRNA from 1 species
CAUGAAAGGCAAGGCGAGGGAGA